GGAUAACCGUAGUAAUUCUAGAGCUAAUACAUGUGUAAAUCUGUAGAUGCAUUAUAGAAGAAACCAUAGGUUCGGCCUAUCGUGAGUAUAUAACUAAUCAUAUCGUAUGCUUAGUAACGAUGUGUCUUCAAGUUUUGCCCUAUCACUUUCGAUGGUAUGUAUGGACUACCAUGGCAGUAACGGGUAACGAAAAUUUGGGUUCGAUUUCGGAGAGGGAGCCUGAAGAUGGCUACCCAUCCAGGAGGCAGCAGCGCGUAAUUACCCAUCCUGACCAGGAGGUAUGACAUAAUCACAAUGCG
rnacentral:rRNA from 1 species